GACUUUCAGAGANCGAUUGGUGCACUUCGGGGAAACUCUGACACAGGUCGCUGCAUGUUNUCUGUCGUCAGACUCGUGUCGUGAGAUGUGGGUUAAGUCCCCCGGUAACGAGCGCAAACCUUGGUCCNUUANGUUACCAGGGCACGUUUAAUUGGUGGGCACUCUAAGGAGACUGCCGGGGUUGACAAACCGGAGGAAGGUGGGGAUGACGUCAAAGGUUCAUCAUGGCCCUUACGGCCUGGGCUACACACGUGCUACAAUGGUCGGUACAGAGGGUUGCCAAGCCGCGAGGUGGAAGGCCCUAAUCUCAC
rnacentral:rRNA from 1 species